CCUACGGGUGGCUGCAGUCGAGAAUCAUUCACAAUGGGGGAAACCCUGAUGGUGCGACGCCGCGUGGGGGAAUGAAGGUCUUCGGAUUGUAAACCCCUGUCAUGUGGGAGCAAAUUAAAAAGAUAGUACCACAAGAGGAAGAGACGGCUAACUCUGUGCCAGCAGCCGCGGUAAUACAGAGGUCUCAAGCGUUGUUCGGAAGCACUGGGCGUAAAGCGUGCGGAGGCUGUUUCGUAAGUCGAGUGUGAAAGGCGCGGGGUCAAACCGGGGACGGAAGAUGAUACUGGGAGACUAGAGUAAUGGAGAGGGAACGGGAAUUCUCGGUGUAGCGGUGAAA
rnacentral:rRNA from 1 species